rnacentral:rRNA from 1 species
AGUGAACGCUGGCGGUAGGCCUAACACAUGCAAGUCGAACGGCAGCACAGUAAGAGCUUGCUCUUACGGGUGGCGAGUGGCGGACGGGUGAGGAAUACAUCGGAAUCUACUUUUUCGUGGGGGAUAACGUAGGGAAACUUACGCUCAUACCGCAUACGACCUACGGGUGAAAGCAGGGGAUCUUCGGACCUUGCGCGAUUGAAUGAGCCGAUGUCGGAUUAGCUAGUUGGCGGGGUAAAGGCCCACCAAGGCGACGAUCCGUAGCUGGACUGAGAGGAUGGUCAGCGACACUGGAACUGAGACACGGUCCAGACUCCUACGGGAGGCAGCAGUGUGGAAUAUUAGACAAUGGUCGCAAGCCUUAUCCAGCCAUACCGCGUGUGUGAAGAAGGCCUUCGGGUUGUAAAGCCCUUUUGUUGGGAAAGAAAAGCAGCAGGUUAAUACCCCGCUGUUCUGACGGUACCCAAAGAAUAAGCACCGGCUAACUUCGUG